CCUACGGGUGGCAGCAGUGAGGAAUAUUGGUCAAUGGGCGCGCGCCUGAACCAGCCAAGUCGCGUGAAGGAUGACUGCCCUACGGGUUGUAAACUUCUUUUCUAAGGGAGUAAAGUGAGGCACGUGUGCCUUGUUGUAUGUUCUUUGUAAAUAAGGAACGGCCAACUCCGUGCCAGCAGCCCGCGUAAUACGGAGGAUCCGAGCGUUAUCCGGGUUUAUUGGGUUUAAAGGGAGCGUAGAUGGGUUGUUAAGUCAUUUGUGAAAGUGUGCGGCUCAACCGUAAAAUUGCAAUUGAUACUGGCAGCCUUGAGUACAGGAGAGGUAGGCGGAAUUCGUGGUGUAGCGGUGAAAUGCUUAGAUAUCACGAAGAACUCCGAUUGCGAAGGCAGCCUACUAAACUGCCACUGACAUUGAUGCUCGAAAGUGUGGGUAUCAAACAGGAUUAGAUACCCCUGUAGUC
rnacentral:rRNA from 1 species